UGAGGAAUAUUGGUCAAUGGGUGCAAGCCUGAACCAGCCAUCCCGCGUGAAGGACGACUGCCCUAUGGGUUGUAAACUUCUUUUGUAUAGGGAUAAACCUACCCUCGUGAGGGUAGCUGAAGGUACUAUACGAAUAAGCACCGGCUAACUCCGUGCCAGCAGCCGCGGUAAUACGGAGGGUGCAAGCGUUAUCCGGAUUUAUUGGGUUUAAAGGGUCCGUAGGCGGACUUAUAAGUCAGUGGUGAAAGCCUGUCGCUUAACGAUAGAACUGCCAUUGNUACUGUAAGUCUUGAGUAUAUUUGAGGUAGCUGGAAUAAGUAGUGUAGCGGUGAAAUGCAUAGAUAUUACUUAGAACACCAAUUGCGAAGGCAGGUUACCAAGAUAUAACGGACGCUGAGGGACGAAAGUGUGGGUGGCAAACA
rnacentral:rRNA from 1 species